rnacentral:rRNA from 1 species
AUUGAACGCUGGCGGCAUGCCUUACACAUGCAAGUCGAACGGAAAAAGGUCUUCGGAUGCUGACGAGUGGCGAACGGGUGAGUAAUACAUCGGAACGUGCCCGAUCGUGGGGGAUAACGAGGCGAAAGCUUUGCUAAUACCGCAUACGAGCUACGGAGGAAAGCGGGGGAUCUUCUGACCCCGCGCGGUCGGAGCGGACGAUGGCAGAUUAGGUAGUUGGUGGGAUAAAAGCUUACCAAGCCGACGAUCUGUAGCUGGUCUGUGAGGAUGAUCAGCCACACUGGGACUGAGACACGGCCCAGACUCCUACGGGAGGCAGCAGUGGGGAAUUUUGGACAAUGGGCGAAAGCCUGAUCCAGCCAUGCCGCGUGCAGGGUGAAGGCCUUUGGGUUGUAAACUGCUUUUGUACGGAAAGAAAAGCCUCUUUCUAAUAAAGAGGGGUCAUGACGGUACCGUAAGAAUAAGCACCGGCUAACUACGUG